CAGCUUUUCUCUUUCUUUCCCUCAUCACGGCGGCCCACAGGUGUGCUCAUCCCACAGGAGACUCUGCACCUCCAUGCAGGGACCACCUUCCCACCCACCCCGCCUGGAGGGAGGGAGGCCGGCCCUCCCCUCCCCUUGAGGUAAGGGAAGCGGCACAGUAACGUCUCCAAGGAGCCCGGGCAACAGCGGGGGCUGGACGACUGAGGCGGCGGGAGCCCAGGGUGACAAAAACAGAAAUGCUGAAACAAGUAAAACAUCUCAGAACAAUUCCAAUGCUGAUGCAGACUGACCUUCCCAAAGAGGAAUUGGGAACCCACGGAUGGCUGGAGUAGAUGGAAGUUGG